AAGUCGUAACAAGGUUUCCGUAGGUGAACCUGCGGAAGGAUCAUUACAACGUAUCCACGUAACAAACCCAAAUCUGUGAACUUGUUUCCCUUUGGAGCGGCAAUUGCAAACUGAAUCAUUUCUAUUGUGUGACCUUUUCAGAUGCGCGAGUUUCUGAAAAGAGAACUGAUUCGGGCUGCUCUGAAGUGGUUUCCUUACGUCACUUACAACAUUAUAAACCCUUUGAACCUUUUAAACUUGAACUGAACUGAAAGCAGGUCUCUCUAAUCAGAGACUCUUUCUUUCAUAUUUACGAAACGAAAGAACAACUCUUAACAACGGAUAUCUUGGUUCUC
rnacentral:misc_RNA from 1 species